rnacentral:lncRNA from 1 species
AUAUCAUGGCGUAUAUUAUAGAAUCCAUUGUCGAAGCAUAUGAAAUUCUGCUCAUACGCUCUCUCUCUCUUGAGGGUUUGUUGGAUAAUUCUUCUUCGAGAGAGAAAUUCUAUGUCCUAUUGAAAGAUAGCCUUUCUUAAAAUUUUUUAUGCUGAACUAUUUCAGUAUGGUAUCUACAUAUGUAGAUUGGGAGAGCUCAAGCAACCUCUUAGAUCUAUCUCUAUA